rnacentral:snRNA from 1 species
AUUGCUUCUCAGCCUUUUGGCUAAGAUCAAGUGUACUAUCUGUUAUCAAACUGAAGUAGCUCCUUUCCACACUUCUCCUAAAGCAGGUCUACUGUUGAUGGACUCCCUCAGUCUUUGUCUGGGAAAGUCUUUAUUGCUCCGUCAUAUCUGAAUGAUAACUUUUCUGGAGACAGUAAUCUUGGAUGAGAGUUAUUAUAU